rnacentral:rRNA from 1 species
AGUGAACGCUGGCGGUAGGCCUAACACAUGCAAGUCGAACGGCAGCACAGUAAGAGCUUGCUCUUACGGGUGGCGAGUGGCGGACGGGUGAGGAAUACAUCGGAAUCUACUUUUUCGUGGGGGAUAACGUAGGGAAACUUACGCUAAUACCGCAUACGACCUACGGGUGAAAGCAGGGGAUCUUCGGACCUUGCGCGAUUGAAUGAGCCGAUGUCGGAUUAGCUAGUUGGCGGGGUAAAGGCCCGCCAAGGCGACGAUCCGUAGCUGGUCUGAGAGGAUGAUCAGCCACACUGGAACUGAGACACGGUCCAGACUCCUACGGGAGGCAGCAGUGGGGAAUUUUGGACAAAGGGCGCAAGCCUGAUCCAGCAAUGCCGCGUGAGUGAAGAAGGCCUUCGGGUUGUAAAGCCCUUUUGUUGGGAAAGAAAAGCAGCAGGUUAAUACCGCGCUGUUCUGACGGUACCCAAAGAAUAAGCACCGGCUAACUUCGUG